rnacentral:rRNA from 1 species
UACAGAGGUCUCAAGCGUUGUUCGGAUUCAUUGGGCGUAAAGGGUGCGUAGGCGGCGCGGUAAGUCGGGUGUGAAAUCUCGGAGCUUAACUCCAGAACUGCCUUCGAUACUGGCGAUCUCGAGUCCGGAAGAGGUGAGUGGAACUCCUAGUGUAGAGGUGGAAUUCGUAGAUAUUAGGAAGAACACCAGUGGCGAAGGCGGCUCACUGGUCCGGUACUGGACGCUGAUGUGCGAAAGCGUGGGGAGCAAACAGG